rnacentral:rRNA from 1 species
UAGCCGUAAACGAUACUCGCUAGGUGUCGGCCACGGCGCGACCGUUGUCGGUGCCGUAGGGAAGCCGUGAAGCGAGCCACCUGGGAAGUACGGCCGCAAGGCUGAAACUUAAAGGAAUUGGCGGGGGAGCACAACAACGGGUGGAGCUUGCGGUUUAAUUGGAUUCAACGCCGGAAAUCUUACCGGGACCGACAGCAACAUGAAGGCCAAGCUGAAGACUUUGCCGGAUUAGCUGAGAGGAGGUGCAUGGCGUAGUCGUGU